GGACUACAAGGGUUUCUAAUCCUGUUUGAUCCCCACGCUUUCGUGCCUCAGCGUCAAUUAAACCAUAGUAAGCUGCCUUCGCAAUUGGUGUUCUGUGACAUAUCUAUGCAUUUCACCGCUACUUGUCACAAUCCGCCUACCUCUAGUCCAUUCAAGCUCUUCAGUAUCAAAGGCACUGCGAUAGUUAAGCUACCGUCUUUCACCCCUGACUUAAAAAGCCGCCUACGCACCCUUUAAACCCAAUAAAUCCGGAUAACGCUUGGAUCCUCCGUAUUACCGCGGCUGCUGGCAC
rnacentral:rRNA from 1 species